rnacentral:rRNA from 1 species
AUGAGGGAGUUGGCGGCCAGCCUCGCCGUCCUUGGCGAGGUGCCGAGCACCGAGAGGGCGGCCCUCGCGGACGCCUUCCUUGCGGCGGCGGCCUUGGGACAAUGCCGGCGCGGCGAGAGGAACCUGCCACGGUGCGCGUCCAGGCCGCCCUCGCAGCUCCGCGACGGCUUGAGGCGCUUCUUGGUCGGCUUGGCCAGAUCCUCCAGGGAGGCCACGGCCGCCAGCGACGCGAACGACUGCGACUUGCCGUCGAAGAACAUGGACAAUCCCCUCCUGCACAGCACAGAAAAAAGGCAGGUCAGCACCUCUCUCUGCUUAGAAAUAGAUCACGAACGUAAACCAUCAGCAAUCGCAUUCGCGCGCACGUACUUGAUGGGGAGCUGCGUCAUGAGGGCGGACAUCUCGAAGUGGUCGCCGGAGCUGGAGGAGGACGACGAGGAGCUGGCGUCGUCGGCGAGGUCGGAGGAGGAGGACGUCGACGUGCACUCGGAGUCGGACGCGGAGCCGAUGUCCUCGUCCUGCUCGUCGUAG